UGCUGUGUAAAUAAAAUCCUAUUUAACAUUUCCUGUACAAGCUCAAAACUUUUUACCGUGGACGUAAGAGUGUCAGCACCCAAGUAAUAUGCAAUCAAUUGCGGAUCCCUUCCAAGUUUCCAAUGCACAGAACCACACACGCCCGUGAGAGUUGUAGCUGGAUCGUGAAAAGCACACAGCGCGAGCAGCGCAUCCAGCCUCAAGUGUGUCCUCAGUCACUGGCAUCGGGCAGAACACGUGCAUAUGAAGCAGCUGGCCCAUCCAACCCCGUAUCCCCUCCCCCCGUACACCUGCUCAGCCAGCCGGCUGAUAAGGGGUUUGCAAGCGGUCGUCAAGGAAAACAAUAACAACAAACCACAGACCCGUGCGCCGAACCGGGCAGGCAUGGGCCGCGAUAAUUUGCACUAGACUGAACCGUCUUGCAAGCAGCAUGUACGCGAUGCAUCCCAUUCUCCAGCUCCAGCACUGGAGCGUGGCGCUUAGUGUAAACCGAUACGCGCUACACCUUACCGAGCCGGAGAUCGAUUUCAUUCACUGGUCGGCGGCACUGGCGCACUUUAAACCGUCAGCGCAGAAGCGGAUUUUUUUUACAGGCUCAUUAAAAUUUAAAUUGUACUCUCGAAUAAACAUGUCGAUACCGUCAGAGGGA